rnacentral:rRNA from 1 species
CGCGUAGGCGGGCCUGUAAGUCGAGUGUGAAAACUGCGGGCUCAACCCGCAGAUUGCAUUCGAAACUGCUUGCCUUGAGUCCAGGAGAGGAGAGUGGAAUCGGCAGUGUAGCGGUGAAAUGCGUAGAUAUUGCCGAGAACACCGGUGGCGAAGGCGGCUCUCUGGCCUGGUACUGACGCUGAGGCGCGAAAGCUAGGGGAGCGAACGGGAUUAGAUACCCCGGUAGUCCUAGCCGUAAACGAUGGGCACUAGGUGUUGGAGGUGUUGACCCCUUCAGUGCCGCAGCUAACGCAUUAAGUGCCCCGCCUGGGGAGUACGGUCGCAAGGCUGAA